UAGCAAUACGGCGGCGGCAGACGGGAGAGUAACACGUGGGAACGCGCCCUUCGGUUCGGAAUAACUCAGGGAAACUUGGGCUAAUACCGGAUACGCCCUUACGGGGAAAGAUUUAUUGCCGAAGGAACGGCCCGCGUCCGAUUAGCUUGUUGGUGAGGUAACGGCUCACCAAGGCGACGAUCGGUAGCUGGUCUGAGAGGAUGACCAGCCUCACUGGGACUGAGACACGGCCCAGACUCCUACGGGAGGCAGCAGUGGGGAAUAUUGGACAAUGGGCGCAAGCCUGAUCCAGCCAUGCCGCGUGGGUGAUGAAGGCCCUAGGG
rnacentral:rRNA from 1 species